GGUUCGAUUCUGGCUCAGAUUGAACGCUGGCGGGAUGCUUUACACAUGCAAGUCGAACGGCAGCACGACUUCGGUCUGCGGUGGAGGGCGAACGGGUGAGGAGCCGUAUCGGAACGCCUAGUAGCGGGGGAUAACUACGCGAGGCGUAGCUAAUACCGCAUACGCCUCGGGGGAAAGCGGGGACCUUUCGGGCCUCGCACCAUUAGAGCGGCCGAUAUCGGAUUAGCUAGUUGUGCGUAACGGCUCACCAAGGCGACGAUCCGUAGCUGGUUUGAGAGGACGACCAGCCACACUGGGACCGAGACACGGCCCAGACUCCUACGGAGGCAGGGAAUUUUGACAAUGGGGAACUCCUGAUCCAGCCAUCCCGCGUGUGCGAUGAAGGCCUUCGGGUUGUAAAGCACUUUUGGCAGGAUAAGAAACGGCACGGGAUAAUACCCCUGUGCAACUGGAUGGUACCUGCAGAAUAAGCACCGGCUUAACGAUGCGCCAGCAGCCGCGGUAAUACAUGCAGGUGCAAGCGUUAAUCGGAAUUACUGGGCGUAAAGCGUGCGCGCAGGCGGUUCGAAAAGAAAGAUGUGAAAUCCCAGAGCUUAACUUUAAACUGUUACAUUCUUAACUAACCGAGCUAGAGUGUGUCAGAGGGAGGUGGAAUUCCGCGCGUGUAGCAGUGAAAUGCGUAGAUAUGCGGAGGAACACCGAUGGCGAAGGCAGCCUCCUGGGAUAACAAUACUGACGCUCGUGCACGAAAGCGUGAGUAAACAGGAUUAGAUACCCUGGUAGUCCACGCCCUAAACGAUGUCAACUAGCUGUUGGGGCCUUUCGGGUCUUGGUGUAGCACUGCAGUUGACUCUGGGAGGAUGGGCCAAAGAUUUAAAACCCAAAGGAUUGACUGGGAUCCGCCAAUAGGAUGAUGGAUUAAUUCAGCAAACACAAACCCGCCUGACCCUGACAUGUCUGGAAUCCCGGCGAUUGGGAGUGCCUGCAAGAGAACCGGAACACAGGUGCUGCAUGGCUGUCGUCAGCUCGUGUCGAGAUGUUGGGUUAAGUCCGCAACGAGCGCAACCCUUGUCAUUAGUUGCUGCUUUUGAAAGGGCACUCUAAUGAGACUGCCGGUGACAACCGGAGGAAGGUGGAUGACGGCUGGAGUCCUCAUGGCUCUUGCGGGUAGGGCUUCACACGUCACAAUGGUCGGGACAGAGGGUCGCCAACCUGCGAGGGGGAGCCAAUCCCAGAAACCCGAUCGUAGUCCGGAUCGCAGUCUGCAACUCGACUGCGUGAAGUCGGAAUCGCUAGUAAUCGCGAUCAGCAUGUCGCGGUGAAUACGUUCCCCGGGUCUUGUACACACCGCCCGUCACACCAUGGGAGUGGUUUUACCAGAGAAUGAAAGAAUGAACUGCAAGCGAGGGCGAUUACCACGGUAGGAUUCGAUCGGGGUGAAGUCGUAACAAGGCA
rnacentral:rRNA from 1 species